UACGGGGGGAGCAAGCGUUGUUCGGAUUUAUUGGGCGUAAAGAGCUCGUAGGCGGCUCGGUAAGUCAGGUGUGAAAACUCUAGGCUCAACCUAGAGACGCCACCUGAUACUGCCGUGGCUAGAGUCCGGUAGGGGAGCAUGGAAUUCCUGGUGUAGCGGUGAAAUGCGCAGAUAUCAGGAGGAACACCAGUGGCGAAGGCGGUGCUCUGGGCCGGAACUGACGCUGAGACGCGAAAGCGUGGGGAGCGAACAGG
rnacentral:rRNA from 1 species